rnacentral:rRNA from 1 species
UACAGAGGGGGCAAGCGUUGUUCGGAAUCACUGGGCGUAAAGGGCGUGUAGGCGGUUCGGUAAGUGGGAUGUGAAAUGCCCGGGCUCACCCCGGGACCUGCAUCCCAAACUGCUGAGCUUGAGUACAGGAGAGGGUGGGGGAAUUCCAGGUGUAGCGGUGAAAUGCGUAGAUAUCUGGAGGAACACCGGUGGCGAAGGCGCCCACCUGGCCUGCUACUGACGCUGAGGCGCGAAAGCUAGGGGAGCAAACGGG